CAGCAGCCGCGGUAAUACCGAGGGUGCGAGCGUUAAUCGGAUUUACUGGGCGUAAAGCGUGCGUAGGCGGCUUCUUAAGUCGGAUGUGAAAUCCCUGAGCUUAACUUAGGAAUUGCAUUCGAUACUGGGAAGCUAGAGUAUGGGAGAGGAUGGUAGAAUUCCAGGUGUAGCGGUGAAAUGCGUAGAGAUCUGGAGGAAUACCGAUGGCGAAGGCAGCCAUCUGGCCUAAUACUGACGCUGAGGUACGAAAGCAUGGGGAGCAAACAGGAUUAGAUACCCCUGUAGUCCCUGUCUCUUAUAU
rnacentral:rRNA from 1 species